rnacentral:rRNA from 1 species
GAACACCAGUGGCGAAGGCGACUUACUGGGCCGUAACUGACGUUGAUGCGCGAAAGCGUGGGGAGCGAACAGGAUUAGAUACCCUGGUAGUCCACGCUGUAAACGAUGAGUGCUAGGUGUAGCGGGUAUCGACCCCUGCUGUGCCGGAGUUAACACGAUAAGCACUCCGCCUGGGGAGUACGGCCGCAAGGUUGAAACUCAAAGGAAUUGACGGGGGCCCGCACAAGCAGCGGAGCAUGUGGUUUAAUUCGAAGCAACGCGAAGAACCUUACCAGGUCUUGACAUCGAGGCAAAGCGUAGAGAUACGGUGUUCAGCAAUGAGGCCGAAGACAGGUGGUACAUGGUUGUCGUCAGCUCGUGUCGUGAGAUGUUGGGUUAAGUCCCGCAACGAGCGCAACCCUUAUUGUCAGUUACUAACGGGUAAAGCCGAGGACUCUGACGAGACUGCCGGGGACAACUCGGAGGAAGGUGGGGACGACGUCAAAUCAUCAUGCCCCUUAUGACCUGGGCUACACACGUGCUACAAUGGUGGUAACAGAGAGGCGCGAGCUCGCAAGGGGGAGCGGAUCUCAAAAAAGCCAUCUCAGUUCGGAUUGUGGGCUGCAACCCGCCCACAUGAAGUUG